rnacentral:rRNA from 1 species
GUGACUCUGUUCAACGGCCGCGGUAUCCUAACCGUGCGAAGGUAGCGUAAUCACUUGUUCUUUAAAUGAGGACUAGUAUGAAUGGCACCACGAAGGUUAUACUGUCUCCUUUUUCUAAUCAGUGAAACUAAUCUUCCCGUGAAGAAACGGGAAUAAAAAUAUAAGACGAGAAGACCCUAUGGAGCUUUAAACAAAUAUACACCUGCCUCUUUACCAAAAAUUUCAGAAGACAAGUAAUUACCCGGGCAUUUUGAUAUAGCGUUUUAGGUUGGGGUGACCGCGGAGCAAAAAAUAACCUCCGCAGCGAACGGGAGUAUUCCCUAAACCAAGGGCCACAACCCCAAGUAUUGAUAAAUCAACACCAAUUGACCCA